AUUGAACGCUGGCGGCAGGCUUAACACAUGCAAGUCGAGCGAGCGGCGGACGGGUGAGUAAUGUCUGGGAACCUGCCUGAUGGAGGGGGAUCACUACUGGAAACGGUAGCUAAUACCGCAUACCAUCAGUUGUGCCCAGAUGGGAUUAGCUAGUCGGUGGGGGAAUGGCUCAACUAGGCGACGAUCCCUAGCUGGUCUGAGAGGAUGACAAGCAACAAGGGAACUGAGAAACGGGCAAGACUCCGACGGGAGGCAGCAGAGGGGAAUAUUGCACAAGGGGCGCAAGCCUGAUGCAGCCAUGCCGCGUGUGUGAAGAAGGCCUGCGGGGUGUAAAGCACUGUCAGCGAGGAGGCGUUACUCGCAGAAGAAGCACCGGCUAACUCAGUGCCAGCAGCCGCGGUAAUAC
rnacentral:rRNA from 1 species